rnacentral:rRNA from 1 species
AUUGAACGCUGGCGGCAGGCCUAACACAUGCAAGUCGAGCGGAUGAAGGGAGCUUGCUCCUGGAUUCAGCGGCGGACGGGUGAGUAAUGCCUAGGAAUCUGCCUGGUAGUGGGGGAUAACGUCCGGAAACGGGCGCUAAUACCGCAUACGUCCUGAGGGAGAAAGUGGGGGAUCUUCGGACCUCACGCUAUCAGAUGAGCCUAGGUCGGAUUAGCUAGUUGGUGGGGUAAAGGCCUACCAAGGCGACGAUCCGUAACUGGUCUGAGAGGAUGAUCAGUCACACGGGAACUGAGACACGGUCCAGACUCCUACGGGAGGCAGCAGUGGGGAAUAUUGGACAAUGGGCGAAAGCCUGAUCCAGCCAUGCCGCGUGUGUGAAGAAGGUCCUCGGAUUGUAAAGCCCUUUAAGUUGGGAGGAAGGGCAGUAAGUUAAUACCUUGCUGUUUUGACGUUACCAACAGAAUAAGCACCGGCUAACUUCGUG